rnacentral:lncRNA from 1 species
CCAACAAGCUACAGUUAUUCUCAGCUAGGGUUUUACUUUUCUUACAAAAUUAGCCUGUGGAUUUCAAAAGUAUGAAUAAAAAAGAGGACAAAAUGGUCAACUAUUACAAAGGAAUAUAAUGAGACAAAGGUUGUUGUUAAAUCUACUCAACAGUUGGGACUCUUUGCAUUUUGUUUAGGGGUACAUGGUCAUUAAGUUUUUGUCUUAUGUUGGUAACUAGUCUCACAUAGUUGUUCCUAGUUUAAUUCAAUGCCACCAUCCUAAGCAGAUGGUGGUCAUUCCACACCUUUAGCUGCCUUGUAGCCCCUCAGCCAUGUUUGUCCCAUAGAGCAUCACUAACCAACAGCUCACUUUGGACUCCUCAUAGCAGAAGUACAGUAGGGGACAGCAAGUGUCAGUUCUGUCAUGGCCCCUGAUAUAAUUAUUUACUGUGCAACCAUUGUCCUGAGUCAGGAGCAUAGAUGAGGGUAGAAUGAGUGUGGCUGGUAUGGCUUCCUGAUUACAUUCUGGGGAAGAUCUUGCCUAGAGAAGAUCUGCUAGAGAAGGAGGCAAGACACUGAUAACCACUGGUGGCAGUUUUCGUCUUGCUUACAAGCUCUCCAGUUAUGCUCAGUAUUUCCAUGACAUCCCAAGACAUGCGGGCCAUGCUGCCACAUCCCCCUGUUUAACAAGUGUGGAAACUGAUGUA